rnacentral:rRNA from 1 species
CAGCUAGUUGGUGAGGUAACGGCUCACCAAGGCGACGAUCGGUAUCCGGCCUGAGAGGGCGGACGGACACACUGGGACUGAGACACGGCCCAGACUCCUACGGGAGGCAGCAGUGGGGAAUUGUUCGCAAUGGGCGCAAGCCUGACGACGCAACGCCGCGUGGAGGAUGAAGGUCUUCGGAUUGUAAACUCCUGUUGAUCGGGACGAACAUCCAUCGGGAUAACACCCCGUAGGACUGACGGUACCGAUUGAGGAAGCCCCGGCUAACUCUGUGCCAGCAGCCGCGGUAAUACAGAGGGGGCAAGCGUUGUUCGGAAUUACUGGGCGUAAAGGGCGCGUAGGCGGCCACCUAAGUCAGACGUGAAAUCCCUCGGCUCAACCGGGGAACUGCGUCUGAUACUGGGCGGCUUGAAUUC